UACGUAGGGGGCGAGCGUUGUCCGGAGUUACUGGGCGUAAAGGGCAUGCAGGCGGUCCGACACGUUUUGUGUGACAGCGGGUGGACUUAACUACCCGAGGAUGCGGAAAGACGGUUGGACUUGAGGGACUCGAGAGGGACACGGAAUUCCGGGUGGAGUGGUGAAAUGCGUAGAGAUCCGGAAGGAACACCGAAGGCGAAGG
rnacentral:rRNA from 1 species